GCCGAAGUGGCGGAAUGGCAGACGCAGCGGACUCAAAAUCCGCCGUCCUCACGGGCGUGAGGGUUCGAGUCCCUCCUUCGGUA
rnacentral:tRNA from 1 species